AGUGCGGACACAGGACAGAGGGGAGCCAGCCCUGGCUGACACCCAGCCCUAGGCAGUUCCUCUUGCACACAGGUUCUUUGCACUGACCAAUGCUGAGAGCAGACCCUCGGAGCAGCCGGGUUGGAAGUGUCUCUCCACAGUCACCAGACAGAUCCAGGAUAGGAUGGGCAGCCCAGUGCACCGAGUGUCAUUGGGGGAUACCUGGAGCAGGCAAAUGCACCCCGACAUAGAGAGCGAGAGGUAUAUGCAGUCCUUUGACGUGGAACGGCUCACCAACAUCCUUGAUGGAGGUGCCCAGAACACUGCACUCCGCAGGAAAGUUGGUAAGGGGAAGCUGGGGAAUGGGACAUCUGUUUUAUGCCCCAUGCUUCUCUUGUAAGAAGAGUCCUUCAUUAGCAGUUCUGCUUCCAAAUAACAAACUUUGCCCUUGAAAUUCCACUGUUAGAGAUUCAUUCCUUCGAACUGUAAAGACAAUCUUCACAUGUCAAUAUUGCCUGAGCCCACCUAGGGGAUAGAAGAGUCCUAGGCAGCAGAAGACCUGGAUUCUGGUCCUAAAAUUCUGCCACUGCAUAGCUUUGUAACCUUGGGCAAUUCACUUUCCCACCUUGGUCCUCAGUUUUGUCAUCUGUAAAAUAACAAUAAUGUCUGACUUCCUUUCCAGAUCCAUGAAGCAAGUGGGUGAGAAGAUUUGAA
rnacentral:sRNA from 1 species